UACGUAGGGCGCGAGCGUUGUCCGGAAUUAUUGGGCGUAAAGAGCUCGUAGGCGGCUUGUCGCGUCGGCUGUGAAAACCCGCGGCUCAACUGUGGGCGGGCAGCUGAUACGGGCAGGCUGGAGUUCGGUAGGGGAGACUGGAAUUCCUGGUGUAGCGGUGAAAUGCGUAGAUAUCAGGAGGAACACCGGUGGUGUAGACGGCUUUCUGGACCGUAACUGACGCUGAGACACGAAAGCGUGGGUAGCAAACAGG
rnacentral:rRNA from 1 species